rnacentral:rRNA from 1 species
AAUCAACGCUGGCGGCGCGCUUAACACAUGCAAGUCGAGCGAGAAAGGGAGCAAUCCUGAGUAAAGCGGCGUACGGGUGAGUAACACGUGGAUCAUAUACCUUUUAGUGGGGAAUACCCUUGGGAAACCGAGGACAAUACCGCAUAAUCCCGGGAGGGGAAAGCAGCAAUGCGCUGAAAGAGUAGUCCGCGGCUGAUUAGCUAGUUGGUAGGGUAAAGGCCUACCAAGGCUGUGAUCGGUAGCCGGCCUGAGAGGGCACACGGCCACACUGGCACUGAAACACGGGCCAGACUCCUACGGGAGGCAGCAGUGGGGAAUCUUGCACAAUGGACGAAAGUCUGAUGCAGCGACGCCGCGUGAGCGAUGAAGCCCUUCGGGGUGUAAAGCUCUUUCGACAGGAACGAUAAUGACGGUACCUGGAGAAGAAGCUGCGGCUAACUACGUGCCAGCAGCCGCGGUAAUACGUAGGCAGCAAGCGUUGUUCGGAAUUACUGGGCGUAAAGCGUGCGUAGGCGGUGGCUCAAGUUUGGUGUGAAAUCUCCCGGCUCAACUGGGAGGGUGCGCCGAAAACUGAGUUGCUCGAGUGUGGGAGAGGUAGGCGGAAUUCCUGGUGUAGCGGUGAAAUGCGUAGAUAUCAGGAGGAACACCGGCGGUGUAGACGGCUUACUGGACCAUAACUGACGCUGAGGCACGAAAGUGUGGGGAGCAAACAGGAUUAGAUACCCUGGUAGUCCACACCCUAAACGAUGCAUACUUGGUGUGAGCCAUUCAUUUGGUUCGUGCCGGAGCUAACGCGUUAAGUAUGAC